rnacentral:lncRNA from 1 species
CUCAAUCACUCAGCCGCUUGAGACCGACACGAUGGAUUUACAAAAUCUUCUUGUUGCAAGGUAAUGUCAAUACUCGUACAUACGCGUACACACACACUUCACAAAAAGUUAAAUCAUGCGUGAAGAAUUAAAGGACCUUUAAUCUCAUAGAUUUCCGAUUUAAUUUUCAAAGUGUUGUGUAUUUUAAAGGAAAUGGCCGAUACAUGGUAAGGUCAAGUCAUGUUUUCCAAACUGUCAAAAAAAUAUUUACACUAUUUAGAUUUUUUUAAAUAAUUUUACUGGUGCAUAACAUACAUGUGUGUAUUUUGUAGGUUGUGACAACAUAAUGGGAUAGCAUUCGUUUCAAUUCCAGUAAAACAAAAAUGGCCCAAAACUCUGCACACUAUGAGCAGGACAAGGAUGCAGUUGAACUGGACAUCGAAUACCAAGCUAAAAAUAGAAUCACGGGGACUUCCCUUCCAAUUAAAAGGGGUUCUUGGCCAAUUCUCUUUGAACGUGCAUCUGGAAGUUGGUGGAAUCCUAAAUUUGAUUCUAAUGAUUUAGAAAUAGAACAGUGGAAAAGUUACCUUCCACAGACACGGAAACGAUUUCAGUAUGCGCUCUUCUAUAUUAUCAUAGCGUGUAUCGCUUGGUGCGUAUUCUUUGGAACUACAAGAAGUGAUAAGUGGACAUAUUUUUUAGGCGGAACUUUAGCUCUGUUGGGAUUUGUAGCACUCAUCCUUUGGUUUUCGUACACAACCUUCUAUGAAAGAUUUUGUUUAUAUACUUCAAUAAUCCUAACUGUUGUGUUGUGUGCAGCAAUACUUGUGCAGUUUAUAUAUGCACAAUCAGACUUGUCAACAAUGGGUAGUUUUACUGCAUCGAUAGAAGUGUUAUUAAUAAUGUAUGCAGUAUUGCCCAUGCCACUAUUUGUUGCCAUUGGAAUAGGUGUUACACAUUCAAUAUUAUAUGAAGUUCUCGUGGUGCUUCAGAAUAAAGACAUGCAGUCUGUAACAUUUAUUAUUGGCAAAGUUUUGCUACAUUUUUGUAUUCAUAUCAUGGGCAUUCACAUAUUUGUCAUGUCUCAAGUUACACGUCGUAGUACUUUUUGGAAAAUAGGUCAGUCUGUAAUGGCGAAACGAGAUUUACAAAUUGAAAAACAGAUCAAAGAAAAAAUGAUCCACUCUCUCAUGCCUCCGAAAGUGGCAUUAGAAGUGAUGGAUUCACAGCGUAGUAACCCUGAUGAAGAAGUUGAUGAUGGGAGAGAGACAAAACAUAAGCAUCAUGAGAAGGGAGAGAUCAUUUUCAGACCAUUUAAUAUGAGUUCGAUGGAAAAUGUUAGCAUUUUGUUUGCUGAUAUUGUUGGUUUUACAAAAAUGAGUUCAAAUAAAACAGCUGAACAUUUGGUAGGUCUCCUGAACGAUCUCUUUGGAAGAUUUGAUGCCUUGUGCACUGCGUGUGGCUGUGAAAAAAUUAGUACAUUAGGUGAUUGUUACUAUUGUGUGUCCGGCUGUCCAGAACCAAAAGCAGAUCAUGCUCAGUGCUGUGUAGAGAUGGGGCUUGGCAUGAUCAAAGCUAUAAAGCAAUUUGAUAAGGAUAAUAAUGAAUCAGUCGACAUGAGAGUUGGUGUUCAUACUGGUACUGUUCUCUGUGGUAUAGUUGGCACAAGGAGGUUUAAGUUUGACGUUUGGUCUAAUGAUGUCACUCUUGCUAAUACCAUGGAAUCUUCAGGAGUUCCUGGCAAAAUUCACAUUUCUGAUGCAUCAUACGAUUUUUUGAAAGAUGAAUAUGAAGUUGAAGAUGGACCUGAUGUUCAAGGUAA